rnacentral:rRNA from 1 species
GAUGAACGCUGGCAGCGUGCUUAACACAUGCAAGUCGAACGAAGCACCUUAUUCUGAUUUCUUCGGAAUGAAAAAUUUGGUGACUGAGUGGCGGACGGGUGAGUAACGCGUGGGUAACCUGCCUCAUACAGGGGGAUAAAAGUUAGAAAUGACUGCUAAUACCGCAUAAGACCACAGCACCGCAUGGUGCAGGGGUAAAAACUCCGGUGGUAUGAGAUGGACCCGCGUCUGAUUAGGUAGUUGGUGGGGUAACGGCCUACCAAGCCGACGAUCAGUAGCCGACCUGAGAGGGUGACCGGCCACAUUGGGACUGAGACACGGCCCAAACUCCUACGGGAGGCAGCAGUGGGGAAUAUUGCACAAUGGGGGAAACCCUGAUGCAGCGACGCCGCGUGAGCGAUGAAGUAUUUCGGUAUGUAAAGCCCUAUCAGCAGGGAAGAAAAUGACGGUACCUGACUAAGAAGCACCGGCUAAAUACGUGCCAGCAGCCGCGGUAA